GGCUGGUCUGAAGGUAGUCAGUUAUCUUAAUUGACUGUUCACAGUCAGUUAUCUUGACUAUUCACAGUCAGUUACAAAUUGAAUUCCCUGUUCUACUCUUUCCCCUCUUCUUAAUAGGGCACUUGAUUAGUCUUUA
ensembl:misc_RNA Y_RNA Y RNA